GAUGAAGAACGUAGCGAAAUGCGAUACUUGGUGUGAAUUGCAGAAUCCCGUGAACCAUCGAGUCUUUGAACGCAAGUUGCGCCUCAAGCCAUUAGGUUGAGGGUACGUCUGCCUGGGCGUCACAUAUCGUUGCCUGAUGCCAGUUUCCUCGUGAUGGGUGACUGUGCAGGGCGAAUGAUGGCUUCCCGUGAGCAUUGUUGCCUCAUGGUUGGUUGAAAAUUGAGUCCUUGGUAGGGAGCGCCGUGAUAGAUGGUGGUUGAGUGACGAACGAGACCCAAUCAUGUGAGACCCCUACCGAAUUUGGCCUUCAUGACCCACAUGCGUCCCUUGGAUGCUCCCUAAGGAGACCUCAGGUCAGGCGGGGCUACCCGCUGAGUUUAAGCAUAUCAAUAAGCGGAGGA
rnacentral:misc_RNA from 1 species